rnacentral:lncRNA from 1 species
AUACUGACACGUACUAAUGUUACAUGCUGAAACAGAUACCACAACGGUUGAUACAUACUGAAUUACUGAUACAUAUUACAUACUGAUAAAUACAAUUUAUCUACUUGAUGUGGUUAUAUAUUGAUACAUACUUAUACAUAUAUAAAUACUGAAUUACUGAUACAUAUUACAUACUGAUAAAUACAAUUUAUCUACUUGAUGUGGUUAUAUAUUGAUACAUACUUAUACAUAUAUACAAUAUAUAUAUAUAAUUAUAUAUAUAUAUAUAUACUGAUACAUACUUAUUUUGUCUUAUACUUUUUAUUUGAUUGUAUUGUGUAGAAAGUAAAAUGGCGAAAAGUUCGGGGGCCCAGUUAUGAUAUAACUAAGGACCCUAAAAGAAAAGUUAAAUCAAACAAUCUAGGUUGGAAAUAUCUGUCGGAUAUAAGUAAUAAGGAUGUCGUGCAAUGUAUACUUUGUGGGAAGAAAUUUCAUUCAAGCAUCAAGAGGCUCAAGUAACAUCUAGCUAGAAUUUUUGAGAUGUAGCAAAGUGCCCAAAAAUAACAAAAUUUUAAGGGAGAUGCAAGUGAUUUUGAAUAGUAGAAAGAGGAACAAGCCAGUUGAGCUAGAUGAUGAUGAUGUAGUAGAAGUGCAAGAAGAACAAUUAUCUGCUCGUCCAAGCAUGGCUUCCAAUACUUCUUCUAAACUCUAUCUCAAGUUCGGGGAUCGCUUCCAAAUGGAAUAAAGCUGUUUUUUCAAUUCCAAAAGCCACAACUAAAAGCUCCAACAAACACGGUUGAAACACACUUCUAAGGAAGACUCUCGAAGAAGUUGUAGAAGAGAGGCAUAACAAGCGCU